rnacentral:rRNA from 1 species
AUUGAACGCUGGCGGCAUGCUUUACACAUGCAAGUCGAACGGCAGCGCGGGGGCAACCCUGGCGGCGAGUGGCGAACGGGUGAGUAAUGUAUCGGAACGUAUCCUGUAAUGGGGGAUAACCAGUCGAAAGAUUGGGUAAUACCGCAUACGCACGAGAGUGGAAAGUAGGGGAUCGCAAGACCUUACGUUAUAGGAGCGGCCGAUAUCUGAUUAGCUAGUUGGUGGGGUAAAGGCCUACCAAGGCGACGAUCAGUAGCUGGUCUGAGAGGACGACCAGCCACACUGGGACUGAGACACGGCCCAGACUCCUACGGGAGGCAGCAGUGGGGAAUUUUGGACAAUGGGCGAAAGCCUGAUCCAGCCAUGCCGCGUGCAGGAAGAAGGCCUUCGGGUUGUAAACUGCUUUAGUCUAGGAAAAAGGGGUGCGAGGUUAAUACCCCCGUGCUUUGAUGGUACUGGAAGAAUAAGCACCGGCUAACUACGUG